GCACCUAUGAUUUUUACUGAGUGUAGCCCAUGAGUUAAACCAAGCAGGAUGUCAGCAUGGACAAAAACAAGGCAGAAAAGGAAGCUUUGCUCUGAUUUUGUUGUAAGCAAAGCAUGCAGCAGUUCACCGAAGGACGCAUCCUUCUUUUCUGCUCUUCAGUUACACCUUAACGCAAAUAAGACACCGGAUGAGUUGAGGAUUUGGGGAAUGAUCACUGUUUGCUAGGACCCAUUUCUUCUCUUUGCUCUUGUAGAGCUUUAUGCCGCACUGAAGCACAAGCAGUCCAGCCCCCGGGAUUUACUGGCUACCAUGCAUACAUGAUCUCUUCCAGAAGAGAAACCAGAGCUUCAUCAUCAUUCAAGGUAUAAUCAGUUCAAGGUAUUCAAGGCAUAAGCAGCUGGUAUCAUGCAAGGUAUAAGCAGCUGGGAACUAACAGCAAAUAAAUCACCAGUACUAUGCAGCAAGCACCACAGCGAGAACUGUGCACCCUGGGACUCAGUGGAAAUACCAGCCUUCUCCAACAAGUAUUGAUUCCUGAUGGACUGUCCUAAAAAUGUGUGCUCAGAAUUGAUACUGGUGAACAGCCGCUGCCACAUUCAGGCCACACACCCAUGAAGCUCACUUACGCCAUGCCAAGGUGCGGCGUGUCUUCCUGCCAGCCUUCCCCUCACAUUAUCAGUCUGGCUCAGGUGCCUUCAAGCGGCUCUUGGUGAUCUCACUCUGCCCAUCCUCCACCUCAGCUAACAACUGUUUGAUGUGACUCUAUCAUGCCAAGUGUUAGCUGUCAAACCCUGCUGAAGGGUAAGAUAGGGCUGUUGUGAAUCUGGGCUCCACUAAUGUGUGUUCCAGGUUGUAUGCAGCAGGACUCCCUCAAUUUCCUUUCUCUUCUUUCCCUGUAGAAGGUCCAAGUCAGGAAUAAAAAAGCAAGAGCAGCUACUUGCUCUUCUUCAAGAAACCGUGCUAGGAAGAGAAAAUUUGAAAUGUUGCACCUUCCUGGACACAACAUGGAGUGAAGAGAUGAGCCUGUCAGGAAGAUGGGAUGAUAUGCCUCCUGUUAAUGCACUGAAAAUGUCCCCGUAUUUUCCUCCUCCUGAGAGAUAAGCUGCAGCAAUCUGCAUUUAUAAGUUAUGAGGAGUAAAGAAGGACACACACUUCACAGAAAACUUCAGGCAUUUUUGUACAGUCCAUCUGGAGGAAAGGGAAGGAAAAGCAAGAUUUCCAGUGCUAAAGAACUGAACAAGCUAGUCUAAUAAUGCACACUUGGUGAAGAAGAGAUUUCUGAGGUAUGACAUAAACAACUGAAAAACUAUUCCAGAUUCACUACUUAAAAAUUUCUACUGGUCCAAGCAAGUCUGAGAUACUACACAUAGACAGUACUGUAGCACACUCAAAUUGCUUUUCCUGUUAUCUCUUCAACUUCUAUAAUAAUCUUCCAUAUUGAUAAGUUUAGUAGUUUGUGAGCUACAGUUUUAUGCAUCAGACCUACUGUACGAACAGACCGUUACUGAUUGAGAAACUAUAAAUCUCAGCUCUAUCACUGUUACAGGUUUCAAUCCACACCAAUGAAUUUGAUUCAUGUUUUUACCUUUUUUUCCUCCAAGUACAACCUAUGUGCUCCCUAAAUGAUUCUUCUCCCCACCACAUUGCUAUCUAUCUAGGAUUGUGGUCAGGUAUAUUUGAAAUCAGUUCCCUACUUAGAAAAUAUUAAUCUGGUACCCUUGCUGUCAUCUAGUCACACACUUUACGUUCUUUAACCUUUAUUCUUUUUGAACUGUAUUUUCUAUGAUGCUUGCCUACCAGCAUCCCACUGUAACUGAUGGAUAUGCAUUUAUAAUCUAUUUUUAUUUCGGAACAUUAUAACAACAAUGACUGCAAACACAUUAUGUAGAUCUCAGACUAAGGCUGCCUAGAGUGCUUGCGUAGCACAAGAGGGAUUUACACACUGUAUGUGUUAUGAAAACACAUAAUGGGCAUGUACAAGGACAAAUGUACAGAGACAAUGCUUAAAUGAUCUAAUAGAAGUAGUUAUCAAAAAUAUAUGUUUAUAUUUAAUAUUGGGAAGGAAAGAAAACGCUUUUAGGAGAAUUGCAGCAUAUACUACCACCUUUACGCCAAGGUACUGCAAGGCACACUCUUACUUUGGCUUGAAUCCAUUUCUCUCAUGACAGAGUUACAAUGAAAUACAGUUUUUACAAAUAAUUCAUUAAUACACAGCAUUACUAUUUUGGGAGUCCUAAGUGAAAACUGUUCCCUUUCUGCAUGGGUAGACAAGCAUGCUUUUGAGAGAAGAACAGCCUUUUUUCCUGCCUUUUGGAUAUUUGUGAUUCAGCUCUUAAGGUCACCAGCAUAUACAGCAGGUUCCCAGACAUUUCAGCACUAAGGAUUUGCUCUGCGAGAACAGUCAUGAAGAAUUUAUAUGUGUGCUAAAACAGAUUUUAUGCUACGUGUGCUGAAUCUUCUCCUCAAAUGCUACCUAUUAGGACACUUCUGCCUCACUCACGCAUCUCACAAGCCCAGCUGGAGGACUGCAGGGGAAGCAUUACCUUCUUGAACAUUCUGGUGGAGUCUUCACUUAUCUGCAUGAACCGCAUGAUCACAUUGUUCAGGUUUCUUCUAUAGUCAAAGGGAUCAAGCACAUGAAGAUAAAACAGCCAGAGAAACUGAGGGAGAAACUCCUUCAACUCUUGUUUUUCCAGGUUUCGUGAAUACUCCAUCUCUAUUUCUGACUUCUUGCGGAAGAAAUCCUGCAGAUCCUGAAGAAGCUGCACUCUCAUUU